UUAGAGCUCCCUUCAGUGUGUUUGGAUUAUCUUGCCCCUUUCCUCUACCAUAACAUUAUAGAAACUAUUUCUUUAUGAGAGAAAAGGCUCAUCUCUUACAUAUGAGUAGAAAAUAAACAAAAAUAUUAUUGUAUUUUCUGCUAGAUUUACUUGGAAGUAUGUUCCAGUCACUAUGGCUGCAUAGUAAAUUACCCUAAAACAUGUGGUCUAAGACAACCACUUAUAGUCUCGGUCCGAAAUUAUACAGGGCAGAGCACGAAUGGCUUUUUCUCUCUACUGCAUGAUGUCUGAAGCCUUAGCAGGAAAACUGGGAGACUGGGUGCUGGAAGAGUCAUCUGAAGGCUCACUCCCUCAGUCACAUUGCUGAUGGAUGGUCCACGCUGGCUGUCAGUUAGGGUGCUCAUUUCUUCUCUGUGCGGGAGUCUCUCCGUGUGUGCGAAUUUGAGUUCCAAGGAUGAGUAUCCUAGAGAGAGGAAGAAAGGGAAAGGCCAGAUUGCCCUUGAGGGCCUAUCCUUGGAAGUCAUGUGGCAUAACUUGCGCGGCAUUCUAUUGUUGUGUCAACUGCAGAGCCCCGCCCAUUUUCAAAGGGAUGGGAAAUACACUCGACUUUUUGAAGAGGAGUGGCAAGGAACACCUGGAGGCUGAUGAAGACAAUAAUAGUUAAAAGAACAGAAAACGUGAAUGGAUAUGGAGGUCGUUUUUAGGUAUGUGGUGGUUAUAAGAAGUUUACAGUAUAUCAGUGCAUAGUUUCCAGAAGAUAGGUGGAAAUCUAGAG
rnacentral:lncRNA from 10 species